GAACGCACAUUGCGCCCGCUGGUAUUCCAGCGGGCAUGCCCGUUCGAGCGUCAUUUUAAUCUUUUCCCAGGAGACUCUUCUAUUCUGUAGUGAGAGUGUCAGCGGGGUGUUGGCAUUGGGCGCCUUAUUUUUAGGCGGCCGGAGCCGAAAUGAAGCGGCGGACUCGCGGCGGCCCCUAGCGCAGUAGAAACAACCCUUCUCGCUUAGGAGAGCUGCAGCGGCGGACCACAGCCCUAUAUGCUUUUUUUUUUUUUUUUUUAAAAAAAAAAAAAAAAAAAAGCUAACAUAUAUAAAAACUUGACCUCGGAUCGGGUAGGACUACCCGCUGAACUUAAG
rnacentral:misc_RNA from 1 species